GGAUGAACGCUGGCGGCGUGCCUAAUACAUGCACGUCGAGCGAACAGAUAAGGAGCUUGCUCCUUUGACGUUAGCGGCGGACGGGUGAGUUACACGUGGAUAACCUACCUAUAAGACUGGGAUAACUUCGGGAAACCGGAGCUAAUACCGGAUAACAUAUUGAACCGCAUGGUUCAAUAGUGAAAGGCGGCUUUGCUGUCACUUAUAGAUGGAUCCGCGCCGUAUUAGCUAGUUGGUAAGGUAACGGCUUACCAAGGCAACGAUACGUAGCCGACCUGAGAGGGUGAUCGGCCACACUGGAACUGAGACACGGUCCAGACUCCUACGGGAGGCAGCAGUAGGGAAUCUUCCGCAAUGGGCGAAAGCCUGACGGAGCAACGCCGCGUGAGUGAUGAAGGUCUUCGGAUCGUAAAACUCUGUUAUCAGGGAAGAACAAAUGUGUAAGUAACUGUGCACAUCUUGACGGUACCUGAUCAGAAAGCCACGGCUAACUACGUG
rnacentral:rRNA from 1 species